ACGCUCGACACCUACGGGAGGCAGCAGUGGGGAAUAUUGCACAAUGGGGGAAACCCUGAUGCAGCGACGCCGCGUGAGCGAAGAAGUAUUUCGGUAUGUAAAGCUCUAUCAGCAGGGAAGAAAAUGACGGUACCUGACUAAGAAGCACCGGCUAAAUACGUGCUAGCAGCCGCGGUAAUCUGAGCGGGCUGGCAAGGC
rnacentral:rRNA from 1 species